CGGCACGGGUGAGUAACACGUGUCCAACCUGCCGUCUACUCUUGGACAGCCUUCUGAAAGGAAGAUUAAUACAAGAUGGCAUCAUGAGUCCACAUGUUCACAUGAUUAAAGGUAUUCCGGUAGACGAUGGGGAUGCGUUCCAUUAGAUAGUAGGCGGGGUAACGGCCCACCUAGUCUUCGAUGGAUAGGGGUUCUGAGAGGAAGGUCCCCCACAUUGGAACUGGGACACGGUCCAA
rnacentral:rRNA from 1 species